AUGAACACGUACGGGCUCCAUCUCCUCGACUUCACCCCCAACGCCGUUCUGACCAUGGCGGUUUUCGCGCAUCUUUACGAGAACUUCGUCGGAAUUCACCCAAAUGUAGCCCUUUUCCGCCACUACUUCAUGCCUCGGGUCGAGAAAGGAGAGCCCUUGUCCGGCGGGAUCGCCUGGAUCUCGAGAACCGGCAAGAAGGAGGCCUAUCUAGAGGGGGAACUCCGUAGCAAAUGGGAUGAGUGGAGAGCGGAGUGGUGUUGGAUUGUUGACGUGGAUCCGCAACCAUUCACCAACCUGCGCCAAGCCCGAGUAGUGCCCGGCGGCGAUUGGAGCGCCCUGGCGGCGGACGAUGCUAGACUGAAGAUUGCCACCACCCGGAUUCUGCGGCUCAGGCUUGCCGGGCUCAAUGUAGGGGCCGUUGGAUGGGAUUCCUUCGCCGCCGCAUCGCCCCUCUGCAGGAGAGGGGGAGGCCCGCCUGGCUGUUCGGGGGCCCGGCAGAUAUCAUGA
rnacentral:rRNA from 1 species